rnacentral:rRNA from 1 species
AGAGUUUGAUCAUGGCUCAGGACGAACGCUGGCGGCGCGCCUAACACAUGCAAGUCGAACGAGAGAUGAGGAGGCUUGCUCUUCAGAUCGAGUGGCGAACGGGUGAGUAACGCGUGAGGAACCUGCCUCAAAGAGGGGGACAACAGUUGGAAACGACUGCUAAUACCGCAUAAGCCCACAGCUCGGCAUCGAGCAGAGGGAAAAGGAGCAAUCCGCUUUGAGAUGGCCUCGCGUCCGAUUAGCUAGUUGGUGAGGUAACGGCCCACCAAGGCGACGAUCGGUAGCCGGACUGAGAGGUUGAACGGCCACAUUGGGACUGAGACACGGCCCAGACUCCUACGGGAGGCAGCA